rnacentral:lncRNA from 1 species
AUAGUGAGUCGAAGGUUAAUCUGUCUUUCAAACAAAUAUUGCCUCCCACUAAUUGCAAUUGGAAAAUCCAGCAAUUUUGUUUUCAGGAUAAAACACUGUCCUGUGUUCUCGAAGAACAGACUGCAAAACUGGUCUUCGAAUCGUUAACUUGAGAUUUAUGAUGUAACAACCUAUUUAAAAAGAUAAAAGGGCACAUUGAAAGGUUGUAUCAUGGCAGUUAUGUUCGAACAGGUAUCAGAGAAGCUAAAUGAUUGUUCAUUUUUUCAAUCGUUAGAUGAAGCGAUUUUACUCACUUCCCAAACCAACGUGACUGCUUGUAUUGAUCUGAGCCCGACUAGAUGGUCCGGAUGCCUAUUUGGGCUUGAGUAGCUAGUCAAGUACUAGACAAGUUCACUCCCACAAGUCCAACUUUAAGUUCCAGCAACAUAACCACUU